CGAAAGAGAGCCGUAACACAGGUGCUGCAUGGCUGUCGUCAGCUCGUGUCGUGAGAUGUUGGUUAAGUCCCGCAACGAGCGCAACCCUUGUCAUUAGUUGCUACAUUCAGUUGGGCACUCUAAUGAGACUGCCGGUGACAAGCCGGAGGAAGGUGGGGAUGACGUCAAGUCCUCAUGGCCCUUAUAGGUGGGGCUACACACGUCAUACAAUGGCUGGUACAAAGGGUUGCCAACCCGCGAGGGGGAGCCAAUCCCAUAAAGCCAGUCGUAGUCCGGAUCGUAGUCUGCAACUCGACUACGUGAAGUCGGAAUCGCUAGUAAUCGUGGAUCAGAAUGUCACGGUGAAUACGUUCCCGGGUCUU
rnacentral:rRNA from 1 species